GAUGAAUGCUGGCGGCGUGCCUAACACAUGCAAGUCGAGCGGCAGCGAGUUUUACACUGAAUUCUGGAAGCUUCUGAGUAGUACAGAAGAUUUAUUCAAGAGUUUUGUGUAAAAUGUCGGCGAGCGGCGGACGGCUGAGUAACGCGUAGGAAUUUGCCCCAAAGUGAGGAAUAACUGCCCGAAAGGGUGCCUAAUGCGGCAUAUGUCCUUCGGUUUAAAGCCUUCGGGCGCUUUGGGAGAAGCCUGCGUUGGAUUAGGUAGUUGGUAGGGUAAUGGCCUACCAAGCCGACGAUCCAUAGCUGGUCUGAGAGGAUGAUCAGCCAGACUGGAACUGAGACACGGUCCAGACUCCUACGGGAGGCAGCAGUGAGGAAUCUUCCACAAUGGGCGAAAGCCUGAUGGAGCAACGCCGCGUGAAGGAUGAAGGCCUUCGGGUUGUAAACUUCUUUUAUGAGUGAAGAAUAUGACGGUAACUCAUGAAUAAGCACCGGCUAACUACGUG
rnacentral:rRNA from 1 species